UAACAACAUUUGGUAAUGUUAAAGGCAUGC
rnacentral:piRNA from 1 species